rnacentral:rRNA from 1 species
GACGAACGCUGGCGGCGUGCCUAAUACAUGCAAGUAGGACGCAGUUGCGAACGGGUGAGUAACGCGUAGGUAACUACCUAUUAGAGGGGGAUAACUCUUGGAAACGAUAGCUAAUACCGCAUACUAGUAGAUGGACCUGCGUUGUAUUAGCUAGUAGGUAGGGUAAUGGCCUAACUAGGCAACGAUACAUAGCCGAACUGGGGGGGUGAUCGGCCACACUGGGAAGUAGAAACGGCGCAGAACGCCACGGGGGGCAGCAGUAGGGAAUCCUCGGCAAUGGGGGGAACGCCGACCGAGCAACGCCGCGGGAGGGAAGAAGGUUUUCGGAUCGUAAAGCUUUGUUGUUAAGGAAGCGGUACUUAACCAGAAAGGGACGGCUAACUACGUGCCAGCAGCCGCGGUAAUAC